UAACAGUAGAAACAAGAAUCCAUGUUGAAUUAGUUUGAAGAGGGAUACAAUCUCUAGCCAGAUGUCUAAUAAAAACAUAGUGAGUCAGAGAAAGCAUGUAUGCUCUUGUAAUUUGUAAUUUGCAGCAUUCCAUGGAUGAAAAGUUCACUGCAAACCAAGCUGCAUUUAACAAUUCCCUCUUCUCUCUGUUGUUCAGAACAUAGUUUCAUAGCUGAAAGUCUAGGGGGGAAGGAAGUUUUAUAUAUUCAUUCAUAUUUCAUAAUAACAGAAUAAAAGUGUAAUUCUAGUUUGGAAAGUGUGCAUCCAAAAAUGGCAACUUCUACCGGAACAGAUCUGCUUGCUGUAGCUAUUCAAAGUAGUAUCUGCUUAUUUUAGUGGCAAAAAUAUGUUUUCACUGACUAAUUUACCAUCAACAGAAUUAUAAGUUAAAUUUCAACUACAUGGCUAAAUUCUUCUGUCAUUUACACUCAAGUAGCCCACUGAGGAAACCAGUUCUUCUGCAGUCACAGAGGAAAGGGCGGGUUUUACCCCAGUAUGAGUAUUCCAGUUAUGUAUCACAAACAAGGUUCUAUAUAUAAACUGAAAUGAUGCAGAAUUUUAAAUGCUCACAAUAAUAGCUCUCUACCUGUUUUCUGUCAUAUGGACAAGAACUUGCUACUGUGUGACUGGAAACUUACCCUGGCAGCCCCACAGUGUGUUAAUGUACUGAGCAGUAAUGAAGUUACAGUGAUGGAUUUUCCUCGACUAUCACAUUUGCUGCUUCAUCCAAGAAGCAUUUAAAAGAGAGGAAGGAAGACAAUACCUCUCAUAAAUACAGGUGCUAUCAAGACAAGCUGAAUGUACAAAAUAGCAUGAUAUAGAAAAGCAGAUGAAUCCCAAUACUCAGAUCAUAGACUCAUAGACUUUAAGGUCAGAAGGGACCAUUAUGAUCAUCUGGUCUGACCUCCCGCAUCAUGCAGGCCACAAAGCCGUCCCUACCCUUUCCCUUGACUCUGCUGUUGAAGUCCCCAAAUCAUGUGGUUUAGAGACUUCAAUUAGCAGAGAAUCCUCCAGCUAGCGAUCCCUGCCCCAUGCUGUGGAGGAAGGCGAAAAACCUCCAGGGCCUCUGCCAAUCUACCCUGGAGGAAAAUUCCUUCCCGACCCCAAAUAUGGCGAUCAGUAAAACCCUGAGCACGUAGGCAAGAUUCUCCAGCCUGUCCCUCAUUAGCCAUUAUACUAUUUACCGGCCAUGGCACGCUGUUCCUUUGACUAAAAUCACGUUAUCCCAUUAGACCAGUCCCUCCAUAAACUUAUCUAGCUUAAUCUUAAAACCAGACAGGUCCUUCGCCCCCACCGUUUCCCUCGGAAGGC
rnacentral:lncRNA from 1 species